rnacentral:rRNA from 1 species
CCUGGCUCAGGAUGAAUGCUGGCGGCGUGCCUAACACAUGCAAGUCGAGCGGCAGCGAGGGGUGCUUGCACCCUGUCGGCGAGCGGCGGACGGCUGAGUAACGCGUAGGAAUUUGCCCCAAAGUGAGGGAUAACUGCCCGAAAGGGUAGCUAAUACCGCAUACGGUCUUCGGAUUAAAGGAUUUAUCCGCUUUGGGAGAAGCCUGCGUUGGAUUAGGUUGUUGGUAGGGUAAUGGCCUACCAAGCCGACGAUCCAUAGCUGGUCUGAGAGGAUGAUCGGCCACACUGGGACUGAGACACGGCCCAGACUCCUACGG